rnacentral:rRNA from 1 species
UGUAUUUAUUAGAUAAAAAACCAAUGCCCUUCGGGGCUUUUUGGUGAUUCAUGAUAACUUUACGGAUCGCAUAGCCUUGCGCUGGCGACGGUUCAUUCAAAUUUCUGCCCUAUCAACUUUCGAUGGUAAGGUAUUGGCUUACCAUGGUUUCAACGGGUAACGGGGAAUUAGGGUUCGAUUCGGGAGAGGGAGCCUGAGAAACGGCUACCACAUCCAAGGAAGGCAGCAGGCGCGCAAAUUACCCAAUCCCGACACGGGGAGGUAGUGACAAUAAAUACUGAUACAGGGCUCUUUUGGGUCUUGUAAUUGGAAUGAGUACAAUUUAAACCUCUUAACGAGGAACAAUUGGAGGGCAAGUAUGGUGCCAGCAGCCGCGGUAAUUCCAGCUCCAAUAGCGUAUAUUAAAGUUGUUGCAGUUAAAAAGCUCGUAGUUGAAACUUGGGCCUGGCUGGCGGGUCCGCCUCACCGCGUGCACUCGUCCGGCCGGGCCUUCCUUCUGAAGAACCUCAUGCCCUUCACUGGGCGUGCUGGGGAACCAGG